rnacentral:rRNA from 1 species
AUGCCGGAAACUCAAGGUUGGGCAGACUUACCAGAAGGCCUGCUGUACUCCAUCGUUGCUCGGCUGGGCCUGGGCUCCGCCCCGGAUCUUCUGGCCUUUGCUGCCACUUGUCGCUCAUGGGGUGCUGUCUUCUCCGGCUCCUUAGCGACAUUCUCACCUCUCCUUCUCCAACCUGGUGUCCCUUUUUGCCCUCCCCAUCCUAGCUCUUUUAGCAACAACAUAGUGCCCAAACGGACUUCCUUUGGUCAUGUCAUUUUGUACAACAAAAAAUCAUGUAUACCGAUCUUCAAGUGCGCGGAGCUCAACUAUGUAUCAGGGCUAACCUUUGAGGUAUUCCGCCUUGACCUGUCACUUGAGUCUUCAUUAUGGGUGAAGGUGGAGAAGCUAGAGAAUUGGGCGAUAUUUAUCAGCACUGACAAGAGAGCCCAGCCAUUGUAUUGCACGAACCCAGAGAUAUGGGGAAGGAGGAGCAACUGCAAAUACUGCUACUGUCAUGAGGCUGAAAGUUGGGUUGCACUUGAGUUGGGCAAGCCGCUGCAGGGAGAUGGCUCUAAACUCUAUCCAAACAUUUUCAAUUUCUGUGAGAACACGGUGCAACCUAUGUGGGUUGUCCCAAGCAUGCUCUCUUUGCGUCAGUGA